GAUGAACGCUAGCUACAGGCUUAACACAUGCAAGUCGAGGGGCAGCAUGAACUUAGCUUGCUAAGUUUGAUGGCGACCGGCGCACGGGUGAGUAACACGUAUCCAACCUUCCGUUUACUCAGGGAUAGCCUUUCGAAAGAAAGAUUAAUACCUGAUAGUAUGGUGAGAUUGCAUGAUAACACCAUUAAAGAUUUAUUGGUAAACGAUGGGGAUGCGUUCCAUUAGGUAGUAGGCGGGGGUAACGGCCCACCUAGCCGACGAUGGAUAGGGGUUCUGAGAGGAAGGUCCCCCACAUUGGAACUGAGACACGGUCCAAACUCCUACGGGAGGCAGCAGUGAGGAAUAUUGGUCAAUGGGCGAGAGCCUGAACCAGCCAAGUAGCGUGAAGGAUGAAGGUCCUACGGAUUGUAAACUUCUUUUAUACGGGAAUAAAGUAUCCUACGUGUAGGAUUUUGUAUGUACCGUAUGAAUAAGCAUCGGCUAACUCCGUG
rnacentral:rRNA from 1 species